rnacentral:rRNA from 1 species
GAGAUCGGGAUAACACCUGGAAACAGAUGCUAAUACCGGAUAAUAACAGAUGAUGCCUAUCAACUGUUUAAAAGAUGGUUCUGCUAUCACUCUUGGAUGGACCUGCGGUGCAUUAGCUAGUUGGUAGGGUAACGGCCUACCAAGGCGAUGAUGCAUAGCCGAGUUGAGAGACUGAUCGGCCACAUUGGGACUGAGACACGGCCCAAACUCCUACGGGAGGCAGCAGCU